GUUUAGGUGGCACAGUGGUUAGAGAGUCCACCUAUAAUGCUGGAGGUUGCAGGUUCGAACCCUGGCUAAGACA